GACGAACGCUGGCGGCGUGCUUAACACAUGCAAGUCGAACGAAGUGGCGAACGGGUGAGUAACGCGUAAUCAACCUGCCCUUCAGAGGGGGACAACAGUUGGAAAAGACUGAUAAUACCGCAUACUGAAGGAGGGGAUUGCGGCGGAUUAGCUGGUUGGAGGGGUAACGGCCCACCAAGGCGAUGAUCAGUAGCCGUUCUGAGAGGAUGAACCGCCACAUUGCGACUGAGCCUCGGCCCAAACUCCUACGGGAGGCAGCAUGGGGGAAUCUUCCGCAAUGGACGAAAGUCUGACGGAGCAACGCCGCGUGAGUGAUGACGACCUUCGGGUUGUAAAGCUCUGUUAAUCGGGACGCGGUACCGGAAUAGAAAGCCACGGCUAACUACGUGCCAGCCGCCGCGGUAAUAC
rnacentral:rRNA from 1 species